UUCAGUCUACAGCACCAAUGGCACUCAAUGAUAGUUAACUUGUCAGCAACCUCGAAAACAUCCAAACUUCUCCCAGAUUGCAGAGAUAGGAGCCAUUCCACUCCAUCAGACAUCCCAACCGAGCUUCAGCCAUCAGGUCCGAACUCUCUGGCAAGUCACGAUAAUGGCCACUACCCCACUCUACUCUCUGUAACAGAUUUUGCAUGGCCCCACC
rnacentral:lncRNA from 1 species